rnacentral:rRNA from 1 species
GAUGAACGCUGGCGGCGUGCCUAAUACAUGCAAGUCGAGCGAACGGACGAGAAGCUUGCUUCUCUGAUGUUAGCGGCGGACGGGUGAGUAACACGUGGAUAACCUACCUAUAAGACUGGGAUAACUUCGGGAAACCGGAGCUAAUACCGGAUAAUAUUUUGAACCGCAUGGUUCAAAAGUGAAAGACGGUCUUGCUGUCACUUAUAGAUGGAUCCGCGCUGCAUUAGCUAGUUGGUAAGGUAACGGCUUACCAAGGCAACGAUGCAUAGCCGACCUGAGAGGGUGAUCGGCCACACUGGAACUGAGACACGGUCCAGACUCCUACGGGAGGCAGCAGUAGGGAAUCUUCCGCAAUGGGCGAAAGCCUGACGGAGCAACGCCGCGUGAGUGAUGAAGGUCUUCGGAUCGUAAAACUCUGUUAUUAGGGAAGAACAUAUGUGUAAGUAACUGUGCACAUCUUGACGGUACCAAAUCAGAAAGCCACGGCUAACUACGU